GCCAGGCACAGUGGCGUGUGCCUGUAAUCUCAGCUACUCAGGAGGCUGAGGCAGGAGAAUCGCUUGAACCCAGGAGGCAGAGGUUGCAGUGAGCCGAGAUCGCGCCAUUGCACUCCAACCUGGGUGACAGAGCGAGACUCUGUCUCAA
ensembl:misc_RNA Metazoa_SRP Metazoan signal recognition particle RNA